AGUUGAUGGGUUCAAGAGGCGAGGGUAAGGUAGCUCCGUGGCUUGUGGGUGGCUAUGUCAUGCUCGUGUGUGGCACUGGCUCUAUGCUUAAAGCUUAAGGCUUUGUAGCAGUGGCAGUGGAAGCUUUGGUAGUGGCAAUAAGAGACUGGCUUCGGAUUUUUGGAGGAUUUGGUAAUUGGCAGUGGCAGUAGGAGAAGGCAAUGGCACUUUGGAAUUGUAAUUUGUUAUUUUGAUAUUUGUGUUUUGUGUCAGCAUUGCUCAUUCUCAAAUUUGGCCAUAGCAUUGGUAAUGGCACUGCAUUUCUCAAUCUUCAAUUUUACCUUUUAUAUAUGUUUAAUUCUUGAUCAAUUUAUAUUUGUAUUAUUAAACAUUAGUAUUUUAAAUUUGUAUAUGUAUUGUAACUUGUAAGCUUAUAAUAUUUAGUUAAUUGCCUAUAUUUGAUUCAGAACCAAAUGUAAAAACAAUACAGAAAUGCAAUUUUGUUUAUUUGUUUAAGAA